AUUGAACGCUGGCGGCAGGCCUAACAAAUGCAAGUCGAACGAGUGGCGGACGGGUGAGUAAUGUCUGGGAAAGUGCCCGAGGGAGGGGGAUAAAUACUGGAAACGGUAGCUAAUACCGCAUACCAUCGGAUGAGCACAGAUGGGAUGAGCUAGUAGGUGGGGUAACGGCUCACUUAGGCGACGAUCCAUAGCUGGUCUGAGAGGAUGACCAGCCACACUGGAACUGAGACACGGGCCAGACUCCUACGGUAGGCAGCAGUGGUGAAUAUGGCACAAUGGGCGCAAGCCUGAUGCAGCCAUGCCGCGUGUAUGAAGAAGGUCUUCGGGUUGUAAAGUACUUUCAGCGAGGAGGCGUUACUCGCAGAAGAAGCACCGGCUAACUCCGUGCCAGCAGCCGCGGUAAUUC
rnacentral:rRNA from 1 species